rnacentral:rRNA from 1 species
AUACGAACUGUGCGAACGUUAUUCGGAAUCACUGGGCUUAAAGGGUGCGUAGGCGGCUUGUUAAGUCAGGUGUGAAAUCCCCCGGCUCAACCGGGGAACAGCGCUUGAAACUAGCAGGCUGGAGUGAGGCAGGGGUGUGCGGAACUUCCAGUGGAGCGGUGAAAUGUGUAGAUAUUGGAAGGAACGCCGGCGGCGAAAGCGGCACACUGGGCCUUGUCUGACGCUGAGGCACGAAAGCCAGGGGAGUGAACGGGAUUAGAUACCCCGGUAAUCCUGGCCGUAAACACUGAGCACUGGAGGGGGGCGGCUUCGGCCUUCCCCCUCGUAGCGAAAGCGUUAAGUGCUCCGCCUGGGGAGUAUGGUCGCAAGGCUGAA